rnacentral:piRNA from 1 species
GCGUCUGUGGAGGAGCGCUCUGGUCGCG